AAAAAAAGAAAAGGAAGGAAAUCCUGCCACAGGCUACAACAUAGGGUAUGCUAAGUGAAAUAAGCCAAUCACAGAAAGACAAAUACAGAUGUUUGCAAUGGGAUUAUGUUCUAAUAAACCCAUCAUAAGUCAAAAAAUCAUUUAGUUCAAACUUCGUAAAUCAGAGACCUUCUAUCAAUAGGAUCCCACUUAUAUGGGGUACUAGAUGCUGAGGUCUGAAUGUAUCCCCCAAAACUCACUUGUUGGAAACUUAAUCCCCAAUGCAACUGUGUUUGGAAGUGGGGCCUUUUAGGAGAUGUUUAGGUCAUGAGGGUGUGCCCUCGUGAAUGAGUUAAUGCCACUAUAAAACGACCUAACUGAGGGAGUUUGGUCUUUUUUACCCGUCUGCCACAUGAGAACACAGACUUCAAGGUGCCAUCUUGCAAGCAGAAGCCCAGAUCCUCACCAGACGCCAGAUGCCAGCUCCUUGAUCUUGGACUUCCCAGCCUCCAGAACUGUGAGAAAUAAAUCUGUCGUUUAUAAAUUACCCAGUCUCAGGUAUUCUGUUACAGCAGCACAAAACAGACUGACUCUAUGAGGAGCCAAACAUAUAGAAACAGAAGUGGAAUGAUGGUUGCCAGGGCUGAGAAGAGGAGGGACUGAGAAGUUGCUUCAUAGGUGCAGAGUUUCAGAUGUGCAAGAUGAAAAAGUUCCAGGAUCCCUUUCACAACAAUGUGAAUAUACUUAACGGUGCACGACUGAACGGUGCACUUAAAAAUAGUUAAGAUGGUACAUUUUUAUGUUUUCUACCACAAUAAAAAAAGUGAGCAGGCAAGGAUAGACUAGAAGAAAAUGUUCACAAGACAUAUACCAGACAAAGGAUUUGCAUUCUCACAAAAGAACUCCUACAACUCAAUAAAAAUACAAACAACUCCCCCCAAACGGGGCACAAGAUUUAAGCAGAUACUUCACAAAGGAAGAUAUGGGCAAAUUUUAACACAAAAAAUUAGGGGACCAGGUGUGGUGGCUCAUGCCUGUAAACUUAGCACCAGGAGGCCAAGGCAGAGAAAAUUUUUCUCUACAAAAAUUAAAAACUAGCUGGGUGUGGUGGUGCACACCUGUGGUCCCAGCUACUCAGGGGGCUGAGGCAGGAGGAUCGCUUGAACCCAGGAAGUGAAUCACACCACUGGACUCCAGCCUGGGCGACAGAGCAAGACCCUGUCGCUAAAAAAAUAAAAAUAAAUGUUCAGUUAAAGGGAAUUAACUACUGAGAAGGGCAGAAACAUGUCUAAAGAACAUAGGAAGAGAAGAUGUGCAGCAGCCUCUAGGAUCAAGGACAACACCCAUGGGAGGAAGAAACUUGGAACAGCCCUGCUCCCACACCCAGAAUGAGACUCAGACCUCUUCGGAGAGAGAGUGGCUGAGGCCACGGAAUGGCCAGAGGUGCAAAGGCUGGGCCUGGAGGCAGGAAACUGCUUAUUGCUGAGAGGUGCUGGGAGGCCACCUGCUGGCAAGCAGCACCAGAAACAGGAAGAGUAGUUCCGCUCCUCCUGCAGUGUCCCUCCAGUGCCCUCUGCCGGCAACGCCUAACAUUGCAUCAGCUGGGAAAGAAGAAAUGUUUACAGUCUAGCUCCAGGACGCCAGACGAAAGAAGGAUGGAUUGAGGGCUGAGAGAGAAAAGCUCCAACUAGCACGGAAUGCUCAUAGGUGGAAGAGAUUCGCCUUGUCUCAGAUGAGAUUUUGGACUUGGACUUUUGAGUUAAAGUUGGAAUGAGUUAAGACUUUGAAGGACUUUUGGGAAGGCAUAAUUGGUUUUGAAAUGUGAGAAGGACAUGGGAUGUGAGAGGGGCCAGGGGCAGAAUGAUAUGGUUUGGCUCUGUGUCCCCAUCCAAAUCUCAUGUUGAAUUGUAAUCCCCAGUGUUGGGAGAGGGACCUGAUGGGAAGUGAUUGGAUCAUGGGGGCAGAUUUCCCCCUUGCUGUUCUUGUGAUAGUGAGUUCUUAUAAGAUCUGGUUGUUUAAAAGUGUGUAGCACCUCCCCCUUCACUCUCUCUCUCCUGCUCCUCCAUGUGAAGAAGGUGCUUGCAUCCCCUUUGCCCUUCUACCAUGACUGUAAGUUUCCUGAGGCCUCCCCAGCCAUGCUUUCUGUGCAGCUGGCAGAAUUGAGUCAAUUAAACCUCUUUUCUUAAUUACCCAGUCUCAGGUAGUUCUUUAUAGCAGUGCGAGAACAGACUAAUACACCUGCCAUUUCUGACAAAGUGUGAGUUUAAAACAUUUUUUCUCUUUUUUUUUUUUUUUUUUUUGAGAUGGAGUUUCACUCUUGUUGCUCAGGCUGGAGUGCAAUGGCGUGUAAUCUCGGCUCACCACAAGCUCUGCCUCCCAGGUUCAAGCGAUUCUCCUGUCUCAGCCUCCCAAGUAGCUGGGAUUACAGGAAUGAUAUCAACGACGGGGCUGUAUCUACCUCCUGGGUAAGCCAUAAGAGGGUUGCACCAAGUACCGAGGACAAGGUGGUGAAGUGCCCUUCAGCAGAGCUGAAGACAAGGAGACAAGCUGAGGCCCAGUGGACCACCUGCCUCCCACUCCCUUGGCAAAACAAAACCAACAAAAACACUAAACCUGCCAGUCAGUGCCUGGCAGGAGAUGGGGUUCACUCUACAGAAAAACAAUAAGCAUACAUAAAAAGAAGGAAAUCUUGUCAUUUGUGACACCAUGGAUGAAUGUGGAGAACAUUAAGUUGGAUGAAAUAGGCACAGAGAGACAAAUCCUGCAUGAUCUCACUCACAUGCGGAACCUACAACAGCUGAUCUCAUAGGCAGACAGAGUAGAAUGGCGGUUACCAGAGCUUGGGCGGUUGCAGGGAGUCCAACGGGGAAAGAUGUUGGUCAACAGAUAAUAUAUAAUUACAAGGGGCGGGACGUCCAGAACAGGCAUGUAUAUAGAGACAGAACAGGCAAAAUACAAAGACAAAGCAGAUAAGUGAUUGCCUGGGGACAAGGGUGAGGCUGGGGCGGGGAAAGCGUGGAGUAGGGAGAAACUGGGAUGACCUCAAAUGGUUCCAGAGAUUCUUUCUCGAGUGAUGAAAAUGCUCUAACGUUGAUUGUGGAGAUGGCUGCAGAACACUGUGAACAUACUAAAAUCACUGGACAGGACACUUUUAAAUAGGUGAAUUAUAUGGUAUAUGAAUUAUAUCUCAAUAAAGCUGUUUUUUUUUUUUUAAGAAGGAAAACAGUGUGAAGGAUCUGGCUUCAAAAAUACCAGGUUCUGCACCACUGAGUUCUUCUCACUGGCUAGUAUUAAUCUCUAAAGAAAGCUGUGGUACUCACUCUUCCACAACUUCACUGCUAAGUUAUUACCACCACCAAGAAAAAGCAUCCGGC
rnacentral:lncRNA from 10 species